ACCCAUCUGCUAACCACAGCCACUUCCACACUGUGAACUCCAUUCCCACCCAGGAGUAAGGAGGUCUUUGCAAGGCCAGGAUAGACCAUUAUUCCCUGCAUCCUUCACAGGACCUGGCAGCUCUAGGCGACCAGUCCUCAGUUUCCUCAACUUCAAGAUGAAGAUCAUAUCAUCUACCCCAUGGCGUUGUUCUCUUCAAACAUUCAUUCAAAUGCUUCCUGAAGAGGUGCAGAGAGCAAUUAGAGAAGCACACACCAAUGUAUUCUGCUGCCAUCACAGUUUUAUGAU